rnacentral:lncRNA from 1 species
AAUCAGUACCUUUUGUACAUUAACAUGCCCAAGAAUAGGAUCUGUGUUUUUCUGUUGAUAAGCAUGUGAUAAUAAAAAUAACUGUGUAAAGUAGUAAGAAAAAAAGUCAAUCCUACACCUGGCCUACAGGUGUUCUAAAGAAUGUGAGAUCUGUAUGCUUCAGUGAAACUUUGCAAGAGGAGUGAAUAUAGCAAUUACCCUCAAUAGUCAUUUUUUAACAGAGGAAUGGAAUGUUCUGCAGGUGCUGCAGCUCCAUGAUUUCUAUCAAAAGGAGAGAACCAAGUUCUGCUGCUUGGUUGUCUGAAAAUCUCCCAGUGAAAGUCUUCUUGAGGAAAUGGGCUGUGCUGAACCGUGGAUCGGCAUUACCUGCUGCCCUGGUGUGUGCAGAGUAUGAGGUCCUGCAGCAGAGAGGGAUUCUUUUUCCUGAUAAUUAAUAUUUAGAAGCCUAAUAAACUGCAAGUGAAGAGUGCA